rnacentral:hammerhead_ribozyme from 1 species
ACAUAGCUGACGAGUCCCAAAUAAGACGAAAUACGUGUGCUGGAU